AUUCAUCUAAUCAUGAUCCUUUAUGUGGCUGAUGUUGAAAACGUUUUGUCCCUGCCCACAUCAAUAGCCACACAUCCUACUCCUGCGUUCAACUUUAGCUGGGAGACAUGUCGCAGACAAACACUCAUGUCUUACUGUAACGAAGCAUGCUAUUGAUUUAUGGUCCUCCACGGAGAAAAGGAUUUCUCCCUUUCCACACUAGUAGGAAAAAUUAUUCUGGAAUCCCAUUAAUAAAAACUGUGCUUUUAUACACCCAUUGUCGGUGGCAUAAGAUCCAUAGCAACUCCUAAGAUAUGCAGAGGAAGAUCUCAAAACAGAUGGAAGAAAAUCACUCUUACUUGUUUCAACAAGAUUUUGCAUUUGCUUUGAGCAAAUUCUUAUAUUUUCAUCUGUGCCAGAACAACCUCCAAGCCCCACCCAUACCAGAACACCACAGUCUUGUUAAACAAGUUGCAUUUACGUAUGUUCAGCAUUUAAAGAGCUCCAUAUAAAAAUAACUGCUCAGCAUAGGUGCUUAACCGAAAGGCAACCAUGAACAUUCAUUGGAAAUUCAGAUGUGAAGCUGCAUUGGCAACAUAUUCCCACCAUGGAGAGAUGCAGAAUAUACUGAACAAUACCAGCCUGAGAGAUGCCAAAAGCUACUUUAACAGCUCUUCUGUUACAUUUAUAUUCAGCGUGGAAAUGAAGGAUUCAGCCUCCAUCAUUACAGAAUGGAAACUGAACUGAUGCAUUUGCUAGAAAAAACAAAACUUGAAAACUUCAGUGGAGGAUCUACCUCUGUUUCUCCAAAAUAAACUCUCUUCAUUGAAGAAUUUAGCAAUACAUAUUUUCACAGUAAGUGUCUCUGAGAUUCCUGAGGUACUCAGGAUCCCACAGACAGACAUCAAUGUCUUGAAAAAAAUAUUCAGAAGAAAACUGGGAUGCUGCAGCAGAGCAGAACAGUGGGAUGACAAAGCUUACUGCAUCAAUUCCUGGCCCCUCGUAUGAGCUGCAGCUUUGGAAAGGCUAAUGUCAGAUGCAGUAGGAAAGACCAACAUCACUCUGUGCAAGAUGUAAGUGACUAUGCAAAAGGCAACAGAAAAGGGAACCAAGACCACGGUCCUAGCAGUGGUUUACUUCUGAGCACUGUGGACAUAACUACGCUGUGAAGGAACAUGUUAGAGAACGGGCACAGGAUGGGCCUGUGACUGCCCGCACCGCAACGAGGAGCUGGCUUCAGCGGGACCCACCAGUCUGGGUCCAAACAGCGCAUGGCCACAACUGCUGGGUGAGAUGCCCCAGGCGAUGAGCCCUGCCUGUUCCCGUGCCAGCUUGGUGUCUCUGCACCGCACUUCCCGCGCUCACUGGUGGGGAGCCAUGCGGGAUGCCUGCACCAGGGCGUAGUCGGGUAGCUCAAGUCACCGGCACUUUGAGUAUCCACCUGUUCAGACAUGUGCUGAAAUGGGAGCCACUUCCUUCUGACGGUGGCAGGUCAAAAUAUUCUAUGCAUAUUGCAAAGGACUGAAAGCUAACGCCUGUGCAAACUGUAAUCCAGCCUGUUUCAGCAACUGUCACAGCAAGGUCCCUCACGCCAUCCCGCACCGCGUGCUCCUUUUGUUGUCAGUAUUGUCUUUCCUCUCCUUCAGAAAAUGCUAACUACCUGUGACAUCCUUUCUAACUAGAAAAGAAACUGAAGCGUCCUGCUCCUAAGAGGGAGAUAAACAGAAAUCAAUGUAAUUCAAGCUAUGGAAUAAAAUGUGAGAUAUAAAGUCGAAGCCAAAGUGGGCUCCCAUGAUUUUCAUAGCCAUAUUCACUCCCUCACUGCACCAUUCUUCAGAGUUGAACACUCUGGUGAAUUAUCUGAGCAACACUAGGUGUCAUCCAGUUAUCCUGUACCGCGUUGCCGAGUGACUCACUGAACUGCUACAACGUUUUCUCUGUUGUAGGGCUAGACUUACAGUGCUUUUCAAUUUUGUAUCGGAAACAACUGUAAAUCUACCAAUUUUGCUGGACAACACAGAAUAUAAGCCACCAUUUGCAUGUGUCUGCAUGGUAUUGUUUGUACCCCUCCACCCGUGACAGCUGGCUGAAAGGGCAAGUUGUGCCUGAAAUAUGCAGUAUGAAGCAGUAAGCCUUAAAGAAAUCUAACUUCUAGGGAAACAGACAAAGUGAAAUCAGGAUGAGGUGAAAUUUCUGGAGAAAAUAGCAGUAUUUUCAAAUAUAACUGGCAAUAACUGCAGCAAACACCAGCGUGACCAUACAUGCAGCUGGAAUUUUUUUCCAGGUUGCUCAAGCAGUCCUGAAUCAAGUUUCGGUUUCAGCCAGACUUCUCUCUCUUCCUCUCUCUCUUUCUUUCUCUCUCACUCUCUCUCUCUUUCCUCUCUCGCAGAGUUUCUACACAUACACAUCUCUUUCUUGUCAUUCACCACUGUGCUACAGGCUUUAUGUGAAAAAGGGAUUUAUCAACUAAUCUGAUAUCCAGCUGUACAAAUUGGUAAAUAUGAAUAUUUAUCAUGCAUACUUUAUAGGAAUAAAUAUAUAGCUACAUAGCAUUCCUUCUUA